CAAUAGCGUAUAUUUAAGCUGUUGCAGUUAAAAAGCUCGUAGUCGGAUUUUGGCUGAGAACGAUCGGUCCGCCGUUAGGUGUGCACUGAUUGGUCUCAGCUUCCUGGUGAGGAGGUGUGCUUCACGGCCACUUAGUCACCGUGGUUACUUUGAAAAAAUUAGAGUGUUCAAAGCGGGCUUACGCUUGAAUAUAUUAGCAUGGAAUAACACCAUAGGACUCCUGUCCUAUUUCGUUGGUCUCGGGACGGGAGUAAUGAUUAAGAGGAACAGUUGGGGGCAUUCGUAUUUCAUUGUCAGAGGUGAAAUUCUUGGAUUUAUGAAAGACGAACUUCUGCGAAAGCAUUUGCCAAGGAUGUUUUCAUUGA
rnacentral:rRNA from 1 species